CCAGAUGCUUCCUUCAUCCACCCCACCCCACCCCUCCAGCUCCAGGAGACACCUUAUUCCACCAGAACCUACAGGCAGGCGCACCCCACCUCAAUGAAUGGACCGAAUUUCUCCCCUCGACUCUCAAAAUAAGAUGCAGCAGGGAAUCACUUCCAUUACAACUCUUUAACCCAAAACCUUCACCGUUACACAAGCUCAAUGGACAACCUCAAAGUAAAGGCUUUUCCAGGAACCCACCAGCACAGAACCCUUCCCCUCCCUUCAGACCUUCGGUCCUUUCUGCAUCCCUGUAGCCCAGACAGCUGUGCUCUAUGACAAGCAUCUUGUCAGACUGGCAAAUUCGAAAGGAGCACCCAGCGUUUUAAAAUAUCUGUGUGGUGUCCUGAAUCUGCAGGAAGUGGUGUGACCUGAAACGGAUUCCAUUCUCCUUUGAAAAUGAGACUGCUUCCUGAGAUAUGGAAAAUGUUGCCCAGUACAUAGUAAGUACUCAAGAAACAGUAGUUUAAACUACUCUAGAUAGCACAAACUGAUGUAUCUUGAGAGCCCCUUAUGGGAAAAUUAUCGACAUCGUCCGAAUUUUACCAUGCUGGAGAACAGCUGUAGAUAAUGAAACAAUCCCAGGCUGAAGCGGGAACCCACACGUAAUCAUCCGCUCUGAGCAGCUGCUCUGCCAUGAUGUCCUACCACGGAUGCACAUGAAUAACAGAAGAGCAAUUGAACAUCCUUAAGUACUUUCAUUUUCACAGCAGGGACCCAGGUUCUGCUAUUGCUUUCCUGUGGCAACACUGAAAAUCAAGGCAUGAAUGAGUUCUUUCUGAAGCUAAUAAGUGAUUAUCCUUUACCAAACAAACGUGACUAGAGUGCUUGCAUAGGAGGAUGUCUGUAACUUACAAAUGUGUGUGUUUCAUGGCAUCGUCCAUUUUAAUGUCAGCUCUUCAAAGACAGGACUGUGCAUGUGUUUUUUCCUUAUCUCAUCUAGCACAGGGAUAGAUGCACUUGGUGCUGAUGUGUUUUCUGUUAUUAUUUGAUAACGAUGCCAGCACCAACACUUUAUGUCCAGAUAACUGUCUCCGAGUGUUCUGAUGGUAGAGUACACCUCCCAGAGAUCCGGUGAGAGCAUAAAUAAAGGAAGCAGCUCACAUCAGCAAAUACAGGGCUGCUUCAUCUUUGGAUAGAGUGAACAGCUGAUGGUAGGAAGUGAAGACAGCCCGAUGGGUGGCCCAGGAGACCAGUACAGAAGACCUGGCCAAGGAUCUGAAUAAAGCAAGGAGUUAAAGUCUGGAAGGCUACAAUCCACAAGAAGGAACCAGCUUCCCCCAUUGCCCUUAAUGAGGGAACAACUGGGCCAUGGAUGUGCCCCUCUACGAAAAGGCACGUGCCUCUGCAUAGGGUCUAAUCCCAACCAUUCCCUUCCAUGGUAGAGGCUUCAGAGACCCUAUCAUGAGGGACCUCCUAGGAAGAAAGAUCCUUUAGCCUCCAGAUGGUCGGCGUGUCUGUGGGAGUCAGCGACGAAACGGUCAGCCCCGAAGGCCAAUGACUCCGGGCAGGCAGAACUGAACCACAAGACAGUGCCUCAAGAAGGUCCUGGCCUCAAUUCCUGGAAGUUCGAUGUCAAGUUUCCGUUCCCAAGGGGGUGAUGGAUGCUUCCCCAACCAUGGAGGGCAUCAUGUGUUCGGUUCAACCCCUUGCAUUCAGGAAAUCAAAGAGCAGCCACCGUACAGACCAAGUGCACUUUUCAAAAGCGUUUUUCUUCUUUCCAAAUAGAUGCUGCUCCUCCAACUGCUUAAACCUAGUGAGGCAGAAGUGCUAAGCUUCCCCGACAAGGCCACAUGCUCCUACAGGGCAGGAGCUGUGUAUCUUUCAUUUUCCAUCCCCAAUGAUGGGUGCUUUGAAGGGGCUCGAUAAACGUUGGAUGAAUUAGACCCUGAGCUCCAGAGAUAACUGAACAGCCUCAUCUUAGCAUUUACCUUGAGUAUUCUAGGUUUCACUAGAGUGUUCGAAGCAAAGAGAGGAAUUUUGCUUGCAAUCUCUAAACCAGUGGGAAUGUUGAUAAAGACACCUGAAACAACCACAAGAAAAAUGCAGAAAAGGGGAAAAAAAAUGACCAGGUCUAAAAAAAAAAUGUGGGUGGGAAAGGGGGACUGGAGGCCAGGAGGAGUAACACUAGUGAUCAGAAGCACAGUGAACACAGUAUCUCCAGAGGAACCUAUCCAUUUAAAUUCUAGACCCCACCAUGGGAUUUAGGCAGCAUCCAAAUCUUUGAGGGUAGGGACCCAGAAACCUUGAUUUUAGACAAGCUCCUCCAGUGCUCCCUAAGUUUGAGCACCUGUCAUCUACAGGUUUCAGAUGGACUCUCUACCUAGAAAUCAGUACUAGGAGUAGCUCAAACUAACAGAUUUGGGGUGUUAAAAAUAUCUAACUGGGAAGCCACUAGGCUGAGAUGACUCCAGAACCUUGGGUUCCUAGGUAAGCCAACUGAAGCCCAAUAUAAACGGUAAAGUGAAAUGUAAGCCUAACCAAUCAGAAACUGCCAACUAACCUCUAACUGGGGACCUCCCACCAGAUCAUACCCAAAUAAGGCAAACUGCUAGCUGGAGCCAAUCAAAUAAAUGCUUUACUUUGCUGCCAAGUUCAGCCUAUAGAAGCCCAUUGCUCAUGCUGCUAAAGUCUAGAUCUCUGAACCUCUUCUGGUCGUGAGUGCUGCCCAAUUCAUGAAUCCUUUAAUGCUCAAAUAAAUUCUACAACAUUUA